rnacentral:lncRNA from 1 species
AUUGGGCCUUUAGUUUAUGGACCUUUAGGUUAUUGGCUAUGUAUAUAUAGCCUACUUUUGUUUAGUUAGUUUUAGGCUUUUCAGAUUAUAUUGUAAACCUUAGCCUUUCUUCCUGUUAAUAAAGUUCUAUUAACAUGGUAUCAAAGCUAGUUCGAUCCAUGUCCUUUGAUUUGUUGGUUGAAGAUUUUGUAGCAGGCACCU